rnacentral:rRNA from 1 species
CACGCCGUAAACGAUGAGUGCUAGGUGUCGGGGGUCAAACCUCGGUGCCGGAGCUAACGCAUUAAGCACUCCGCCUGGGGAGUACGUACGCAAGUAUGAAACUCAAAGGAAUUGACGGGGACCCGCACAAGCAGCGGAGCAUGUGGUUUAAUUCGAAGCAACGCGAAGAACCUUACCAGGUCUUGACAUGGUAUUGACCGGUCUAGAGAUAGAUUUUUCCCUUCGGGGACAAUACACACAGGUGG